CCUNACCUUGGGACGGGGAUAAACCCGGGAAACUGGGUAUAAUACCCGAUAGUUCUGGGAAGCUGGAAUGCUUCCAGGACGAAAGCUCCGGCGCCCAAGGAUGGGUCUGCGGCCUAUCAGGUAGUAGUGGGUGUGAUGUACCUACUAGCCUACGACGGGUACGGGUUGUGAGAGCAAGAGCCCGGAGAUGGAUUCUGAGACACGAAUCCAGGCCCUACGGGGUGCAGCAGGCGCGAAAACUUUACAAUGCUGGCAACAGCGAUAAGGGGACCUCGAGUGCCAGGAUACAAUCUUGGCUGUCGUAAUGCCUAAAAAGCAUUUCAUAGCAAGGGCCGGGCAAGACCGGUGCCAGCCGCCGCGGUAACACCGGCGGCUCGAGUGGUAACCGCUAUUAUUGGGUCUAAAGGGUCUGUAGCCGGCCGGAUAAGUCUUUUGGGAAAUCCAGCUGCUCAACAGUUGGGCUUUCAGAAGAUACUGUUCGGCUCGAGACCGGGAGAGGUGAGAGGUACUUCAGGGGUAGGGGUGAAAUCUUGUAAUCCUUGAAGGACCACCAGUGGCGAAGGCGUCUCACCAGAACGGAUCUGACGGCAAGGGACGAAAGCUAGGGGCACGAACCGGAUUAGAUACCCGGGUAGUCCUAGCCGUAAACGAUACUCGCUAGGUGUCAGCCACGGUGCGACCGUGGUUGGUGCCGUAGGGAAGCCGUGAAGCGAGCCACCUGGGAAGUACGGCCGCAAGGCUGAAACUUAAA
rnacentral:rRNA from 1 species